UGGCUCAGAUUGAACGCUGGCGGCAUGCUUUACACAUGCAAGUCGAACGGUAACAGGGAGCUUGCUCCGCUGACGAGUGGCGAACGGGUGAGUAAUAUAUCGGAACGUACCCAAGAGUGGGGGAUAACGUAGCGAAAGUUACGCUAAUACCGCAUACGAUCUAUGGAUGAAAGCAGGGGACCUUCGGGCCUUGUGCUCCUGGAGCGGCCGAUAUCUGAUUAGCUAGUUGGUGGGUAAAGGCUCACCAAGGCGACGAUCAGUAGCUGGUCUGAGAGGACGACCAGCCACACUGGAACUGAGACACGGUCCAGACUCCUACGGGAGGCAGCAGUGGGGAAUUUUGGACAAUGGGCGCAAGCCUGAUCCAGCAAUGCCGCGUGAGUGAAGAAGGCCUUCGGGUUGUAAAGCUCUUUUGUCAGGGAAGAAACGGCUGUGGCUAAUAUCCACGGCUAAUGACGGUACCUGAAGAAUAAGCACCGGCUAACUACGUGCCAGCAGCCGCGGUAAUACGUAGGGUGCAAGCGUUAAUCGGAAUUACUGGGCGUAAAGCGUGCGCAGGCGGUUUUGUAAGUCUGUCGUGAAAUCCCCGGGCUCAACCUGGGAAUUGCGAUGGAGACUGCAAGGCUAGAAUCUGGCAGAGGGGGGUAGAAUUCCACGUGUAGCAGUGAAAUGCGUAGAGAUGUGGAGGAACACCGAUGGCGAGGCAGCCCCCUGGGUCAAGAUUGACGCUCAUCACGAAAG
rnacentral:rRNA from 1 species